rnacentral:rRNA from 1 species
GACGAACGCUGGCGGCGCGCCUAACACAUGCAAGUCGAACGAGCGAGAGAGAGCUUGCUUUCUCGAGCGAGUGGCGAACGGGUGAGUAACGCGUGAGGAACCUGCCUCAAAGAGGGGGACAACAGUUGGAAACGACUGCUAAUACCGCAUAAGCCCACGACCCGGCAUCGGGUAGAGGGAAAAGGAGCAAUCCGCUUUGAGAUGGCCUCGCGUCCGAUUAGCUAGUUGGUGAGGUAACGGCCCACCAAGGCGACGACCGGUAGCCGGACUGAGAGGUUGAACGGCCACAUUGGGACUGAGACACGGCCCAGACUCCUACGGGAGGCAGCAGUGGGGAAUAUUGCACAAUGGGGGAAACCCUGAUGCAGCGACGCCGCGUGGAGGAAGAAGGUCUUCGGAUUGUAAACUCCUGUUGUUGAGGAAGAUAAUGACGGUACUCAACAAGGAAGUGACGGCUAACUACGUG